CGCUCCCUGCAGGGUUCAAAGGCUGUCGCUGUCAGCUGAGACAGCAUUCAGCUCUGAUGAUAAGAAAAAAGACUUUUCAUGUCUUCAGGGGGGCUUUGAGUCGCUCCCGCCACCUGAUCAGAGAGCAGGGUCGGGACAGAGCGAUGACAGACCCCAUGUCGACCAAUCGCGCCCUUUUCUUUCUCCUCAGGUGUUCAGCAGCACACCACACUUUGGACUGUAACAUUUAUGGCCGCCAUAUAGUCUGAGAGGAACGAGAGCAAGGGCAAACACUGCAACAAGAAACCUCGGCAGACAAAUGCUACAAUGGCUUGGAGUGAACGCUAGACGAAUACCCAGGGUAAGAGAGCCGAUGACGGCGGUCCCCAGCUUGACACCUCGGCUCUCCGAGAUGUAAUUACAGGAGCCGCGGCGACGACGCUUCUGUCUCUGCAGCAACGUAAUGAGACAGAAAGAAGCUGAGGGACCUGCCUGUGUGGAGACGAGUGGUGGGAAAGAAUACGAAUAAG